CUCUCGGCAACGGAUAUCUCGGCUCUCGCAUCGAUGAAGAACGUAGCGAAAUGCGAUACUUGGUGUGAAUUGCAGAAUCCCGUGAACCAUCGAGUCUUUGAACGCAAGUUGCGCCCGAAGCCAUCCGGCCGAGGGCACGUCUGCCUGGGUGUCACGCAACGUC
rnacentral:rRNA from 1 species